rnacentral:sRNA from 1 species
UCGAUCUUUUUCAGUGAUCUCGGAUUGA